UUCUGUCUGGUAGUGGCCAGCCAGAUACCUGUGGGAAGCCUACAAGUAGAAUGAGAGAGAGAGAGAGAGAGAGAGAGAGAGAGAGAAUGUACUCAAGCCCACAGUAAAGCUAUAUGGGUGGAUGGAUUUACAGUAAUUUGAAGAAUUUUCCGGAGGCAGCGUUGGUGGAAUCUUUCAAGACGUUGGGGGUGGCGUUUAUCAAUGGUCCAUGUUUCACAGGCGUACAGUAAGCAGCCAGAACUCUUCACACUGGAAGGAACCAGCUGGAUCAGGAAGACCUGUGGUGCAAGCUGUAGAGGUGCUGAGCCCAGAUCCAGGCCAUGAUACAGAACCUGAGCUGGGGCCUGGCAGCCAACAGCCCCUUGAGUCAGAGACCCCUGAACUGGGACCCCUGGAGAAACACUACCUGAGCCAGAUUCUACUAAAGAACUGCCCUAUGCUCCCCGGUACCAGUGCAGGCACACACAAGGCAGUGGAUGAAUGAGAUGUGAUGGAAUGCUGGGCUCCAGGCCAGAUGACCUUUAAGACUCUCCAGUCUUUGGAAAGGGGGUGGAGCCUGGGAGGCAUAGUCUGGCCCAAUAAGCCUCAGUUGAGCGUCAUACCAUGCCAGAGCAAGUUGGCUGCUUGGAACUAUCCAAGGUCCUGCAACACCUAGCUGCUACUGACGAACUAUGGGACCCUCAGGUGUCUGUCAUACCCUGUGAUCAGGACAGGGCACCACAUAUAAAUAUUUCUCAGGUUAUUUUGAGAUAUCCCACUGCUUUAGCAGCUGAACUGCCUCCCAAUCCAUUCUGAAUCCAAUUCAAAAUGCUGAUUUUAAGCUAUAAAGACCUAAAUGGCUUAGGAGCAGAUUACCUGAGAGAUCACCUCCUCUCAUACAGGGCCGGCUCCAGGCAUGACGGGGCCCUUGGGCACCACUGUGCCCUGGGCCCCUCCGCUCCCAUUCUGCGAUCCGCGGAAACAGCCAUGGGAGGAAUCGCAGGACAGGAGCUUCUGAGCCGCCCGCCGUCCCGUCCCAUCCCAUCCCCCCCGCUUCACCUACCUUUCUGCUUUUUUUGU